AAGUGUGUAUCUCAGUGGUAGAGUGCGUGCUUAGCAUGCACGAGGUCCUGGGUUCAAUUUCCAGUAUCCUCA
rnacentral:tRNA from 1 species